UGAGGAAUAUUGGGCAAUGCCCGCAAGGGUGACCCAGCAACGCCGCGUGGAGGAUGAAUGUCGGAAGAUUGUAAACUCCUGUUAGAGGGGAAGAAUAGUACCGGUUGGACCGGUAUAUGACUGUACCCUCAGAGAAAGCCCCGGCUAACUACGUGCCAGCAGCCGCGGUAAUACGUAGGGGGCAAGCGUUGUCCGGAUUUACUGGGUGUAGAGGGCGCGCAGGCGGGAUAAAAAGUCAGUGGUGAAAUCCUACAGCUUAACUGUAGAACUGCCUUUGAUACUUUUAUUCUUGAGUUCGGGAGAGAGAGACGGAAUUCCAGGUGUAGUGGUGAAAUACGUAGAUAUCUGGAAGAACACCAGUUGCGAAGGCGGUCUCUUGGUCCGACACUGACGCUGAGGCGCGAAAGCGUGGGGAGCAAACA
rnacentral:rRNA from 1 species